GCCCCCGUAGUUCAACGGAUAGAACGGUUCCGUCCUAAGGAAAGAAUGGGAGUUCAAUUCUCUCCGGGGGCA
rnacentral:tRNA from 1 species